CUGAGGAGCUCGGGAGCGGUCAUGUUUUCGAACCGGGUCAGGACCGGAAGGUAGCAGCCCUAAGAAAUCCUCUCUCCGGCCCCGAUGCCUCUUCAGCUC
rnacentral:SRP_RNA from 1 species